UUCCUCUAGAGCAGGCAUCCCCAAACUUCAGCCCUCCAGAUGUUUUGGACUACAAUUCACAUCAUCCCUGACCACUGGUCCUGUUAGCUGGGGAUCAUGGGAGUUGUAGGCCAAAACACCUGGAGGGCUGCAGGUUGGAGAUGCCUGCUCUAGAAAAA